UGGAGAUGACAAAUCCAAAACUGAUGGUCAUUGGUAGGAACCAUGGGGACGUCCACGGGGGCUUUCAUCCUGCUCUUGUGGCUGUCGCUGCACUGGCUCAGCCAAGGAGAGACGGUGGAGCAGCAUCCUUCCACGCUGAGUGUCCAGGAGGGAAGCAGCUCUGUUAUCACCUGUAGUUACUCAGACAGUACCUCCAACUACUUCCCUUGGUAUAAGCAAGAACUUCGAAAACGUCCCCGAUUCAUUAUAGACAUUCGUUCCAAUGCGGCCAAAAGAGAAGAUCAAAGACUCACUGUUUUAUUGAAUAAGACGGCCAAGCACCUGUCCCUGCACAUCGCAGCCACCCAGCCCGCAGACGCAGCGGUCUACUUCUGUGCAGCAAGUGCACAGUGCGUCCCCGACACCUGCCGCCUGUGCUCAAACCUGCGACUCUGCAGCCCCUGUCCUCUGACACAGACCUUCCAGUAGAGCAUCUGUGCGGUUGUUUGUGUGCAGGUGGAAGCUAAUGUGUUCGACAUAAAAGCAUAACACAAUGCCCUUGGGAUGGAGAUGACCCAGACAGGGUUAGAACAUUUUCUUGAAUGAUUACUGCUUAUUGGAUUGUUGAAGGGAGUUAGUAAGGUUUUGUUUUGAAAUUCAAGUUUUAAAGCAACCUUUACAUUUGCUAUUCAGACUCCUGUCAUAUAAACAAGUCCUUAGUAAAUUAUUACAUUUCUAUCAUGGAUUAACUUUCAACUCUUGUCACUCCAAUACUGCAGAUGUUAUUUUUGGUCUGCUAUAAAACAUUAGAUGCUAAAUAUAAAAAUAUGUAAAGAGGAAAGUAUUAAAUUGAUAAUUAUGUACCCAGCAAAUUUAUUAUCAAUGUUUGGUUUACUCUCUUCUUAAAUUGUAAUGUAACUUGGAUUCUUAUUUUUCCACUCAGUGUUAUAUCCUGAAUUGAGCAUUCUCUACUAAAACCUGUUUUUUAAUAUAUUUGUGAGAGAUUUUCAAGAGUCACAGUUAUAUUUUUAAUUUUCUUCCUUGUCUUUCUGGCAAUAUUUGACAAUCCUUUCUAUGUGUUUAGAUUAAUUUUCUCUUGAGAAAAUGUGACCUGAGGUUUUUCUUGAGACUCAGCGAUGGUAUGCAUUUUAUGUGUAUUUGAGGGAAAUUAAAAAUAGAAGUGAUUUAUUUAAGAA